AGCUUUGUGCUGUGGCAGUAUCAUAGCCAGUGAGAUUUAUCCAAGGUGCGAUUACUGCUAACUGAAAAAUACAGAAUUAAAACAAAUCUGCUUUGUAUUUUCUUUAGUCAUGUUUUCAGUGCAUCAGAGUUUACUAUUAAAAGAAUUGUUCACGUUGGGUUUUGUCUCA
rnacentral:snRNA from 1 species